UUUGCGCAUUUUGGUGGUUGGCUUCACAGAAGGUGUUGCUUUCAUCUUCCUGGGUACAGAGGCUGGGUUGUACGGGUUGUUGCACACAGUUGAGCUCAGUUGAGGCUGAAGCAAGAAUGUAAGACAGAGAUUCUUCGUGAAAGCCAUACCCUACACGAGCUUUUACACUGGAGGUACGAGGUACUUGUGCUGAUUGACAAGAAAGAGCUGGCUCGAGUCCAGGAGCUCAUCGAAUCCAUCAUCGUCCCUUACUGAGAAAUACAAUUAUGUGAUGGCACCAAGGGGCUUGCCAUAACCUUUGUUUCCUCUGCCUCAGACUUUAACGUUCUGAACCAAGUGGAAUGCAGUUGAGGUCGAAGAAUGCCGUUGGAGAGACCAGAGGUUGCCGUGGUGGUGCUUGCCGGAGAUCACGGCGAGAUGCGCUGCUGGGAGACGAGACGUCGCCAGCGAGGUUGGGGACGAGCUGCUGGUUAAAGAUCAUGUAAUGAUUUUGUAAUGUAGAUGCUACUUGCAAAUGUUGGUUCCAUAUCCUACAAUUUAGAUGCCUGGCUACAAUUUUAAUGCAUGAUCAUGUUACUGUGUUUGAUUAAAAUACCAGGCAAUAUGAUAACUGCAUAUAUUUGUGCAAGUACUAUGAUUAUUGCUUUGUUUUGAAUAGUGCCUGCAAACAUAAUCAAAGGCAUUGUUGAAAACAGCCUUCAAAUGUAA